UAUCCCUUUCAUCUUGAAAUCUCCUUGGUCACUGAUUGCAACGUGCACAUCACACAACAUUGUGGUUUCCAUACAGCAUUUUCCUUUGUGAGCUGCCCAUGCAAAUCUAGCGUGCACAAAGCUUAUCUUUCCAUGGUGAAGUCACUCUGUAGUAACAAACACACGGCACAAACUCUUUCCCUACAGGCUUGUGAGAAACAUGUCCCAGCAAGCAUCUGUCCAUUAAAGUAGACACCACUUAAAGACAAUGAGGUGGACGUUUCGACCCUUGCAGAAAAGUGAUCACUCAGUGUGGGGUUUUUCAGUGAACGACUCUUAACUUCGAACAUUUAGUUGCAUCCUUUCCAUCAAGUACCUCCCUUUGUGCCACUCUCUCAUGUUUUCUCUUCCCUCCACAGAGAGGAAUUUUCUUUAGAGCAGGCGUUGUAUGCAGCUCCUCCCGUCGGACUUAAGAAAGCCAUCAUCAUCACACAAGAAAUAGUGGACGGAGAAGUGGUCUCUCAGAGGGAACUUGAGCAAAAUCCUAAUCACAAUGACCUGGAAGUUUCUGGGGAGGAUCAGGAGUUGACAGAACAACUGGAGCUAGCAGUGGAAGAGGCAAAAGCAGAGGAAGAGAACGUAGCAGAACAACUGGAGCUAGCGGUGGAAAAGGUGAAAGCAGAGGAAGAGAAAGUAGCAGAACAACUGGAGCUAGUGGUGGAAAAGGUGAAAGCAGAGGAAGAGAAAGUAGCAGAGCAACUGGAGCUAGCGGUGGAAAAGGUGAAAGCAGAGGAAGAGAAAGUAGCAGAACAACUGGAGCUAGCGGUGGAAAAGGUGAAAGCAGAGGAAGAG